CGUUCGGUUUCCAUUCGUUUCUAGCUAAACUUAAUACUAGUUUAAGUAACUGUAUUUCAAAAUCAAAAACAACUAAUCGUUUUGUUGUUCAGGUGAUGAAAUUAAAGGACCGAAUAUGCAUUUAAUUUAUUUCCACCAAUACAGUAAUAAGUUAGUGUAAAUAACAACUUUCUUUCAUGUAGCCAGCGUGUGCACUCUGUACUAGCGCGCGAGAAGAACAGCCCACUAGCUACGACCGGCUACAGCGACUAGGCUUGUUAGCUAGCGAGUAACCAGACAGUUGGGGACAGUGACCUCGAAGAUGGCUGCAGGUUCUGGCUCGUCAAGCGGCCACAGUCGUGGUUCGCCUGCUGCCCUGGAGUCCACUUUGGACCGACGAUUUCAAGGAGUGUCAAACACAAUGGAUUCCAUACAAGGACUAUCAAACUGGUGCAUCGAGAACAAGAAAUACCACAGUCUUGUCGUGCGGUACUGGAUGAAAUGGCUGAGGAGAUCUGAGGCUUCCCAUCGGCUUAAUUUGAUCUACCUUGCCAACGAUGUCAUUCAAAACUGUAAAAGGAAAAAUGCCAUCGUCUACCGUACUGCCUUUGCCGAGGUGCUCCCAGAGGCCUUCCGGCUGGUCAAUAUUGCAGGUGACUCGAAGGUGUUGAAGUCAGUGGACAGGAUAUUAACCAUCUGGGAAGAGAGGACCGUAUACACAGAUGAGCUUAUAGCUGAGUUGAGAGCCAGUCUGGUUAAAGAGGAGUCCCCUCUUGCUGUCGAGCCUCCUAAAGCUGCAGUCAACUCCAAAGCUGCUCUUCAGUCCAAGAUAGUUGCUGAAUUUGUCCCCCAGGCAUUCAUCGAGCACCUCUCUAGCUACCACAGCUCUGUGGAGGAGGUGGAACUAAAGGAGAAACAGUUGGCAGCGAUGAGGGUGGAUGUCUGCAGCACAGAGGCCCUCAAGAGGCUGAAAGAUAAGGCAGGGGGGAAGAAGCACUGCAAGGACUUUGAGGAAGGCAGUGCAAAGCUCAAGGAGUUUGUGGCCUUUCUUGAACGGCAGAUCAAAGGAGGGCCUCCCCUGUUGGAUGCUCUUGGAAACGCAGACAUUUUCUACGAGAUGCAAUAUAAGGAAGUCAAGAUAGUUGCCAAUGCCUACAAGACAUUUGCUAACCGGGUAUCCCACCUCAAGCGUAAGCUGGACAGUCUCAAGGCCACUCUACCAGACCUUGACGAGUCUCCUAUCCCUUCGCCCUCGAUGGAUGCUCCUUCUCCCACAGGCUCAGAGUCCCCCUUCCAUGCCAUGGCCAACCCAGACUCUGACCUGGAUGGCCUGGCAAUGGAAGAUGAGGCGGACAUUACUCUGGCAGAAGCCCCCAGCCCCUUAUCCUCGCCCGGUGGCUCCCCGAAACAUGGCUUCACCGUUGGGGAGUCAGACAACCGAGACGUAGAAGACAUGGAACUGUCAGAUGAGGAGGAAGCAGAGAGCGCCGGUAUCAUAGUUGAGGAACGUGUUGAAGAUCCUGUCCCAUCUCCAGUCCGGAGUCCAGUGCAUGUUGUCACACAGCUGCCAUUGGCCACCGAGGAAAUGCCUGUCCCACAUACCACACCCUCCCCAGCGCUGGUAACCCCAGCAAUCCCUACAACCAACAUAUCAGGCAGCUUUGCCAAUGUGGACCUGGGUAAAAUUAGCUCUAUCCUCAGCAGCAUCACUUCUGUCAUGAAGAAACCAGGAGUGAGUCCAGUUGGUUCUUUGGUAUCCCCCUCCUCUCCAGCCAAUACUACUCCUCCAGCCCCAGUAGUCCCCCAGGUAGCCACCCCUCUGGCUAGCAUCCUGUCUAAAGUGGACUUCACUCCAGAGGCGCUCCUCAGUGCACUGUCCAAAACCCAGGGGGUGGCUAGCGGGCAACAGGAUUUUUCCAAUCAUCUCAACAGCCCAGUGGGAAACUACUCCUCAAUCUCCCCAAAUACAGGCAAGCUCCCUCCCUCCGCUUCUACCCCAACAACUCCAUCUCAAGGCCCUCCUCUUCCCUGCCCCACCCUUGAGCCGACUUUGUCUGCCUCUGUGUUGGGAAACACUACCGUUGUCCCCCAGGCAACACCCCUUGCCCAGCCCACGCAGCCACUAGCCAUCGGCCCUCAUGUAGGGUUGGGCCUCGAGCAAGAGAAGGCAAAUGAAGUAAUGCCUUCAAUUUCCAGCCUGGAGUCUAAGAUCCACAGCUUCCUCCAAGGUAACCCUGGCUUUAACGCAUUUAACCUGGCCUUGACUAGCGAGGCCAUCCAAGUGGGAACCAGCAGCCUUAGCCCAUCAGCGGGCAACGAGACCCAGGAGGGCACGCCGGUGCGGGAUGAGGCUGGCGGAGGCACCCCCACCCUGGAUGAGAUCAUGGACACGCCGAGAGGAGAAGCAGAGCAAGGUCAGCUCUCUGGGGGAAUUCGCAAACAACCAGAUGGCAGUUUGUCUCAACCUCCAACUGCCUACCAUAAUCAAACCUGGCAGGAUCCCAACGUUGCUCAUGUCCACUUAGGCCUACAUCCAGGCACUCUGAACGGGCAGAGGUACCACCACCAGCUGCCUUAUGGAGGGAACAAAGAGGUGCACCAAACAGCUUCUUCCCAUAACAAGUCUGGAUUGGGUCAUUACCAGCAGCAAAUAACGCCACAGGGCUCCGCCCCGACCUUGGGGGAGGGCUUAGCCAGUAACCAACAGGGAGAGGCUCCAAUGGGGCCACACCCUAGUGGAAGCGACGGAAGAUGGUAUGGCAAUCCCUACCCGGAGAGACAGGCCCCGCAUCACAACAACCACAACAUGGCUACCACAGGAGACCGCAAUCACCCUGUGUCUGGACAGUAUGUCUACCAGGCAGAGGGGCAGUCGCAGCACUAUCAAACUGAGGAUGCUCACGCUCUGCCUUCUCAACAGGGAGCCAACUCAGGCUUCCUGACCAGCCCCCUGCCUCCAAUCCCUAAACUGCCCCCACCGCCCUUCCCGGGAAUACAAGCCCCACCGCAGAACUACCAGGCCGCGGCAGCAUCUGUGGCGGUGGGAGGGGCGAUGGUGUCUGUGGAGCGACCCUUGCCAAACUGCAAGACUGAAGAUGACAGGGCGGGCAUCGGUGCACUGGGAGGUAGGGUGGCCAUCAGCGAACACCAGCACAAAUCAGCUCUCCACCCCGAGGGCCACCCGUAUCCCCCCGAAGACUUCCACCGUCACCACCCUGACGAGCCCCGUCACCACCCUGACGACUCAUACCACCCCGAAGAGUUCUGUCACCACCCAGAUGACCUCCAACACCACCCAGAUGACUUCCAUCACCAUGAUGAGCACUAUUAUCACCCAGACAACUUCCAUCAUCUACCGGUGGAGGAUCCUCAUUAUCCUUACAGGGUCAGAGAGCGCCUUUCCCCCCCCCUCCCACCCUCAGAAGACCCCUACUAUUAUGACUACCCUCCUCGCAGCCCUUCCCCCCCGUACGGUCACAGACACCCCCCUCCCUCUCACAUGGACAUGCACCACCCUGACUUCAUGCCCAUGCAUCACCGUCCUCCACACCGUCCUCUUCAUCCAGCUCAACAUCCACAUCUGAGGGGACUCCCGAGGGGUCCACCGCGCCCGCCUCUUCGUGGCCCCAUGCUACGGGGGAAACGGCCCGGGCCUCCUUUCAGCGGGUACCCGAGAGGCGGGGGACCAGGCGGCCCAUUCUUUCCCCCGAAAAGACCACACCUACCUCCACGCUUCUGACUUUGUCAACCCGUCUUGUUGGUCAUACGACGGUGCUUAGGCAACCGGAAUGUAAUUGCGCACGACUCCUCAAGUCAUAAAAACUCCUGGCCCGCCAGUAACUCCACGUAGAGGGCAGAAGAGGAGGAGGGAAGAUGAGUUGGGGAAGAGGCAUUUAGAUGGACUUUUAAACCAGGAAGUGCAGUGGAGAAGUGAAAGGUGUUAAAGAAGGAGGGGAAUCCAUACAAGCGAAGACAUCAAUCUGGAGAAAGGGGGAGUGGAGAUGACGGCCCGAGCGACGGUGACGCAGCGGAAUAAAGGAAAAUAAGAGUAACCUGGAUGACCUGUUGGAGAAGUGGGAAACUGCUGGCAUGCGCGAUAACACAACUAUAGGGGUCGUGUCUUCUCCAACCUCCACUCAUCACGGUAAUAAUAUGAUUAAUCUAUUAAAAAUGUUAAGUCUAGGAUUAUGCUUAAUUUGCAAUAAAAAGUAAUUGUGUAGAUACUUUUUACAGAUUUGUGGUACAUAUAAAAUUUUUGAUGUACUGCUUGUCACUAUGCUUUUUUGUUAGAGACAGUGGGAUAAGAUAAAUGGAAGAGGUUUGCUUAAAGGGCAGUGCGCUAGAGGCAGCAGCUUAUGCUGGCUAAUACAUACCUACUGAUCUCAAUUGGCUCUGUUUUUAUGAUAGAUUUGCUGUGCAUAACUUUCUCCCAUUACUGUUUGAAUGGAUCUUCUUGAGUAGCUUAGGUGAGGGGUGGGAGUGUGAGGAGAGUGCCGCAGCCACUUAAUCUGUUCUAAACACACAAACACCUUUUUUCCAGUUUUGGGUCAACAGGUUUCAGUUUCAAUAGGCUUUAACACUGUUCAGGUACAAAGACUAGCACAAACAUUUAAUUAAAAGGUGCUAUACAUCUAGUUGAUUAGAUUUACAAAAACAAAAUGCAUGUAUCUUUGUGUAGCAUGAGAUAAAUCAAUCAUUCAAUCAUUGUACAUACAUAACCAAUCAACAAUCCUAAAAUGUUUAUCUGCAGUAGAGCAUGCUGGGAAAUUUGAUAAAGAUGGCUGUGGCUUUGAGGGAAUUGAUAUUCAUUUCUGGUAAUUGAAGUAGCUGCUAAGUGAAUAUGUACAUUUUAAAAGUUCAUACCCAAAUCGUGUUGUUCUCUUUGUACCUUUUAAUGCAUUUUUAUUCCAGAUUUGUUUAAAUUAAUAAUGUGUAUUCAAUCUUACACAAUAAAAGGAUGUAUUAUUAAACUGUUUAAAUGUUGUUGUUUUUUUACUUUUUACUCUUUACAUUGACUUGAUGAUCAUUGUUAUUAAGCACAGUGAGUAGCAAUGUACAUACUCCUAGCUGUGUUUGUAGGAGCUUAUUUGUUGGGUAGAUCGUGACACUUGGAUUUUUACAGAUAAUGCUCCAUUUUGACGAUUUGACUGCUACCAUUCAUAGUUCAAUAGAAAACAGC